CCUACGGGAGGCUGCAGUGGGGAAUAUUGCACAAUGGGGGAAACCCUGAUGCAGCGACGCCGCGUGAGUGAGGAGGUAUUUGGGUAUGUAAAGCUCGUUCAGCAGGGAGGAAAAUGACGGUACCUGAAUAAGAAGCACCGGCUAACUACGUGCCAGCAGCCGCGGUAAUACGGAGGGUGCAAGCGUUAUCCGGAUUUACUGGGUGUAAAGGGAGCGUAGGCGGUUAAUCAAGUCAGAAGUGAAAGCCCAGGGCUCAACCUUGGUACUGCUUUUGAAACUGAGUAGCUAGAGUGCAGUAGAGGUAAGCGGAAUGCCUGGUGUAGCGGUGAAAUGCGUAGAUAUUAGGAGGAACACCAGUGGCGAAGGCGGCUUACUGGACUGUAACUGACGUUGAGGCACGAAAGCGUGGGGAGCAAACAGGAUUAGAUACCCGAGUAGUC
rnacentral:rRNA from 1 species